GGUUCAGAACAGAACUCUAGUUUUCAGCAAGCAAGCAAGACAAACAGCAGAGGAGAGAAGCGAUUUCAUUUUCAGUAGACAGACUCAGAACUUAACAUUGCUUCAGAGCUGCAGAGCUUAAUAUAUAGCCACACCUAGACUACUUUUAGUUUCAGUUUCCAAACAGUCCUCAUUGGCUGACUUAGUUGCUAUGCCUAUUCAUUGACUGAACUUGUUACAUGCUCUAUUCCAGUACAUGAAUAUACUCUGACAAAAAUAAAAGAGUUAGU